ACACAAUCUUAAAAUCUUUCCAUCUUAGAAAGCUCUUUCCAAGUAUUUCUUUUGUUUGUUUUUAAACCUAUAAACGAUAAUGGAACAUAUUUUGUAGACUGGAUUUUAUCUUUUUCCCUUUCCCCCUCCCGACUGCACUCGGUUUAAUAGUUGUCAGUUUUUUCCUCAGUGUUGGAUUUAAUCAUGUAGGACCAAAAUAUUCCUCAGUAAAUUAGCUUGCUAAAUAUUGUCACUUCUGUGAUUCCGCCUUUGAGAAACAGCUUAAUUACAGAAAUCUAUCU
rfam:Pteropus alecto contig21941, whole genome shotgun sequence.